rnacentral:rRNA from 1 species
GCCCUACGGGGCGCAGCAGUCGCGAAAACUUUGCAAUACACGAAAGUGUGACAGGGCUAUCCCGAGUGCCAUCCGCUGAGGAAGGCUUUUACCCAGUCUAGAACGCUGGGGGAAUAAGGAGAGGGCAAGUCUGGUGUCAGCCGCCGCGGUAAUACCAGCUCUCCGAGUGGUGUGGAUGUUUAUUGGGCCUAAAGCAUCCGUAGCUGGCUGAGUUAGUCCCUUGUUAAAUCCACCGAAUUAAUCGUUGGAUUGCGGGGGAUACUGCUCGGCUAGGGACGAG